rnacentral:siRNA from 1 species
CAAUGGCCCUUUGGAUUCACUU